AACUUUCAGCAACGGAUCUCUUGGCUCUCGCAUCGAUGAAGAACGCAGCGAAAUGCGAUAAGUAAUGUGAAUUGCAGAAUUCAGUGAAUCAUCGAAUCUUUGAACGCACCUUGCGCCCUUUGGCUAUUCUGAAGGGCAUGCCUGUUUGAGUAUCAUGAA
rnacentral:rRNA from 1 species